GUUUGUUGGUUGCACAAAUGUCUUCUUUUGAAAAAUGUCUUUUCAUAUUAUCCACCUACUUUUUUAUGCUUUUUUUUUCUUGUAAAUGUGUUUAAAUUCCUUGUAGAUUCUACCUUUGUCAGAUGGGUAGAUUGCAAAAUUUUUCCCAUUCUCUUGGUUGCUGGUUCACUCUAACGAUAGUUUCUUUUGCUGUACAGAAGCACUUAAGCUUAAUUAGAUCCCAUUUGUCUAUUUUGUCUAUUUUGGUUUUUGUUGCCAUUGCUUUUGGUGUUUUAGUCAUGAAGUCCUUUCCUAUGCCUAUGUCCUGAAUGGUUUUGCCUGGAUUUUCUUCUAGGAUUUUUAUGGUGUUAGGUCUUAUGUUUAAAUCUGUCUCUCUCUCUCUAUAUAUAUAUAUACACACACACACACACACAUUGCACUUUAGGUUCUGGGGUACAUGUGCAGAACAUGCAGGAUUGUUGCAUAGAAUCUGGGACCUCAGGUGACCUGUCAGCUAAAGGAAAAGGCGUCCCCACCCAGACCCCAACAGAGGGUUCGUGGAUCUCUCUCAAGAAAGAAUUCAAGGCGAGUCCAGAGUGCAAAGCAAAAGCAAGUUUAUUAAGAAAGCACAGUGGUGAGAGGACAGCUACUCCAUAG
rnacentral:lncRNA from 1 species